rnacentral:sRNA from 1 species
AUUGUUACCAGUGUAAAGUGGCAUUUUGCAACAUGUGGUAGCCUGUUGUUAUCUUGAUGGCUAUUUAUUGAAAUUAGGAGGAUGCCAGAUGUCUGGAUAGGAGUCUGGAACUAUCCCUUGUUUCCUGCCUUGAAAAGGAGUAGCAACCUCCCUUAGCCUGAUGAACCUGUAAAUGUCCCCUAUGUCUCUCUGCCUCCUCCUAAACUCCCUCCACCCCGUCCCCAGCAAGCCUGAGGCUCUCACCCUGAGGACUAGAAGUUAUCACGUUGGAAGAGAGUGCUGGACCCUGGGUCAGCUCUCCCACCAGGAGUAAGAUUGUGCCAUCACCCAUGGAUUUAUCUCGAAGUAGAUGCACACAUAAUCCCCCAUGAAGCACAGGGACACAUGGUGGCAGGAUGGGGAGUCACUGCUUCCCAGGCAGUCUAGGCUGGUGGACCCCUCUUCCUUUCCCUCCCCCUGUCUCAGAUAACCAAAGACAAGUGCAAGACAGCCCCUCUUUCCCGUCUACUAACAGUCCCCACUCUCUGUGGCAGAGGCAAAUACCUCCUGUACGAGAAGAAUGAGGUGAAGGCGCGAGAUCGGGAGUGGAAGAAGUAUGAAUUCCACUACGACAAUGUGCUGUGGGCUCUGCUGACCCUCUUCACCGUGUCCACGGGAGAAGGCUGGCCACAGGUCCUCAAGCACUCAGUGGAUGCCACCUUUGAGAACCAGGGCCCCAGCCCGGGGUACCGCAUGGAGAUGUCCAUUUUCUACGUUGUCUACUUUGUGGUGUUCCCCUUCUUCUUUGUCAAUAUCUUUGUGGCCUUGAUCAUCAUCACCUUCCAGGAGCAAGGGGACAAGAUGAUGGAGGAAUACAGCCUGGAGAAAAAUGAGGUGCCACUUCCAAUUCCAUCUGUCCUUUAAAAACUGGGGACACACACAAACUUUAAAACACACACACACAACACCCAGGAACCUGUUUCUAGGGGUACCUGGGGGAGGGAACAGAAGCAUCCUCCAAACAGAAUCCAGUCUUCAGGGCAGCCUUUCAUGGAGUUUCCAGAGGAAACACAUCAUAUAACGUAUGUAUCAGUCAGUUUAGACUAGGUUAUGCCGCAGUAACAAGCAAUCCCAGAUUUCAUUGCCAAAUAUCCACAAAGGGACUUAUUUUUUGCUCACACUGCAUGUCGACAUCAGUUGUGGAUCUUGCCAUCUUUAUUCUGGUUGCCAGGCUGGCAGAGCAGCAGAGCAGCCUCCCUCUGAGAUGCUCCAGAUGAAAAAGAGAGUAUAUCAGACUGAGGUUCAGCUCUUCAGGCUUGUGCUCAAAAAUGACACGUCACUUCUGCUCACAUUUCAUCAGCCAAAGCAAGUCACACAUCCAUUCUGACGUCAGUGGAGUGGGCAAAUACAAUCUCCCCUAGUGAAGGGUGGUGAAUAUUUAUGAAUGAAAAGCCAAGCCAGGUGUGGUGGCUCACACCUGUAAUCCCAACAUUUUGGAAAGCUGAGGCAGGAGGAUCACUUGAGCUCAGGAGUUUGAGACCAGCCCGGCCAACAUAGAAAGACCCCAUCUCUACUACAAAUCAAAAAAAUUAGCCAGGCAUGAUGGUGCACACCUUUAGUCCCAGUAACAUGGGAGGCUGAGGUGGGAGGACCCUUGAGCUUGGGAGUUCGAGGCUGCAGUGAGCUAUCAUCAUGCCACUGCACUCCAGCCUGGGCAACAGAGCAUGACCCUGUCUCAAAAAAAGGAAAGAAAAUCCAGUCCCCAGUCUACCAGAGAGUAUAGACAUGACUCUUUGCCUCUCUGGCAUCAUCCAAGCUAAAUAGAGGACCUAGAAUAUAUCCUAUGCUCCCUUGACCCUUAAGACUUAAUAACCACUAUUCCUCGUUCUCUCUCCCUCGAAGAGAAGGAGAAGAAGCAGCAAAGUAUUCAGUAAGAAAGAAUGGGCUGGGCGCAGUGGCUCACGCCUGUAAUCUUAACACUUUAGG